rnacentral:rRNA from 1 species
AACGAACGCUGGCGGCAUGCCUAACACAUGCAAGUCGAACGAGACCUUCGGGUCUAGUGGCGCACGGGUGCGUAACGCGUGGGAACCUGCCCUUAGGUUCGGAAUAACUCCCCGAAAGGGGUGCUAAUACCGGAUAAUGUCUUCGGACCAAAGAUUUAUCGCCUUUGGAUGGGCCCGCGUUGGAUUAGCUGGUUGGUAGGGUAAAAGCCUACCAAGGCGACGAUCCAUAGCUGGUCUGAGAGGAUGAUCAGCCACACUGGGACUGAGACACGGCCCAGACUCCUACGGGAAGCAGCAGUGGGGAAUAUUGGACAAUGGGCGAAAGCCUGAUCCAGCAAUGCCGGGUGAGUGAUGAAGGCCUUAGGGUUGUAUAGCUCUUUUACCCGGGAUGAUAAUGACAGUACCGGGAGAAUAAGCUCCGGCUAACUCCGUG